rnacentral:lncRNA from 1 species
UAAUUUAUUGCUUUUAUUUAUGAGUUCAUGUGAGAGUCGGACAACAGCUUGCAGGAGUCAUCUAUCUCUCUCUACUACCUAGGUUCCCAGGACUGUGUCUCAACAGCCUCAGUAAGUUUCCUGGAUGAAAGAAAACAUGAGCCCAGGCCCACACAGGAAAUGUGAAAUAGUGGGCUCCAGGUCACCCAGGUCUCUAAAAGCAGUUCAAUUGUCUAUGCAAUCAUAGAGAUGGGUGAUAACACCCCCAUUUUACAGAUGAGGAAACAAGAGGCUCCCCUCCCCCAGAGAUGGUAACAUGCCAACAGAGGCUGGCAGUGUAAGUCCUGCCGAGGAAAGCCUCCUCUGUGCGGUUCGGAGUAUAAUAUGAAACCAGUAAGGGGAGAAAUCACUGGCCCACAAAGAAUAGGCUGGCCUGAAGCCCUUCAACCAGAUCUACCAUGCCAAAACUUUCCAUCUUUCGAUGACAACAAUCAAUGUUCACUUUGGGCUUGAGUCAGCUGGGAUCUGUGAGUCCUAAAGAACCCUAUCUAUAUCAGAAUUCUCUCUCUUCGUCCUCCAGUUGGGACAUCUCUUCUCCCGCUAGGUCUUCCCCAUGGUUAAGGAUGUUUCAUCAUUCAACCACUGAAGCUUUUGUGUCCAGGGCCCAGUCUGUCUCCUCCUCAACUUGAGCUUUUGCAGGAUGUCAUCUGGGAAGCUAGGUGGACAGCACAUAUCCCUUCCUUCCACCUAGCACGUUGCUGGGGGGAAACGGGCGGGGUGCUGAGCACUGCGGAAUCACCACAAUCAAUUCUCCAGUACACGGUACAACAAACUCCCUGAGCGUCAGAAAGUCUCACUCUGAUCCUUGCUCCAGCUCUAAGUCUAGUCUUACCUAAGUCAUAUCUUCUGCAUUUUGCUCUUGCUACAAACAGGGAAUGAGCCUAACAGCCAGGCGAGACCCUAUUAACGUCCCUUCUAGAAACGGAGGCCAGGCGAAGCCGAUGACUUUGGAGAGUUCAGAAGGCUCCUGGCCUCUGCCCUUCGCUGCUGUGGGCCCAGCGGACAAUAACCACAACUGCUCCAGAAGACAGAAGCUGCAC